GAUGAACGCUGGCGGCGUGCUUAACACAUGCAAGUCGAACGGUGAAGCAGAGCUUGCUCUGUGGAUCAGUGGCGAACGGGUGAGUAACACGUGAGCAACCUGCCCCUGACUCUGGGAUAAGCGCUGGAAACGGCGUCUAAUACUGGAUAUGAGCUGCGACCGCAUGGUCAGCAGUUGGAAAGAUUUUUCGGUCUGGGAUGGGCUCACGGCCUAUCAGCUUGUUGGUGAGGUAAUGGCUCACCAAGGCGUCGACGGGUAGCCGGCCUGAGAGGGUGACCGGCCACACUGGGACUGAGACACGGCCCAGACUCCUACGGGAGGCAGCAGUGGGGAAUAUUGCACAAUGGGCGAAAGCCUGAUGCAGAAACGCCGCGUGAGGGAUGACGGCCUUCGGGUUGUAAACCUCUUUUAGCAGGGAAGAAGCGAAAGUGACGGUACCUGCAGAAAAAGCGCCGGCUAACUACGUG
rnacentral:rRNA from 1 species